rnacentral:rRNA from 1 species
CCUACGGGAGGCAGCAGUGAGGAAUAUUGGUCAAUGGACGAGAGUCUGAACCAGCCAAGUAGCGUGAAGGAUGACUGCACUAUGGGUUGUAAACUUCUUUUAUAUGGGAAUAAAACGUUCCACGUGUGGGAUUUUGUAUGUACCAUAUGAAUAAGGAUCGGCUAACUCCGUGCCAGCAGCCGCGGUAAUACGGAGGAUCCGAGCGUUAUCCGGAUUUAUUGGGUUUAAAGGGAGCGUAGGUGGAUUGUUAAGUCAGUUGUGAAAGUUUGCGGCUCAACCGUAAAAUUGCAGUUGAAACUGGCAGUCUUGAGUACGGUAGAGGUAGGCGGAAUUCGUGGUGUAGCGGUGAAAUGCUUAGAUAUCACGAAGAACUCCGAUUGCGAAGGCAGUUCACUGGACUGCAACUGACACUGAGGCUCGAAAGUGUGGGUAUCAAACAGGAUUAGAUACCCGGGUAGUC